rnacentral:rRNA from 1 species
AUUGAACGCUGGCGGCAUGCUUUACACAUGCAAGUCGAACGGUAACAGGUUAAGCUGACGAGUGGCGAACGGGCGAGUAAUGCAUCGGAACGUGCCCGGUCGUGGGGGAUAACGCAGCGAAAGCUGCGCUAAUACCGCAUACGAUCUGAGGAUGAAAGCGGGGGACCGUAAGGCCUCGCGCGAUCGGAGCGGCCGAUGUCAGAUUGGGUAGUUGGUGGGGUGAAGGCUCACCAAGCCGACGAUCUGUAGCUGGUCUGAGAGGACGACCAGCCCCACUGGGACUGAGACACGGCCCAGACUCCUACGGGAGGCAGCAGUGGGGAAUUUUGCACAAUGGGCGAAAGCCUGAUCCAGCCAUGCCGCGUGCAGGAUGAAGGCCUUCGGGUUGUAAACUGCUUUUGUACGGGACGAAAAGGUUUGGGCUAAUAAGCUGAGCUCAUGACGGUACCGUAAGAAUAAGCACCGGCUAACUACGUGCCAGCCGCCGCGGUAA